GAUGAACGCUGGCGGCGUGCCUAAUACAUGCAAGUCGAGCGAACGGACGAGAAGCUUGCUUCUCUGAUGUUAGCGGCGGACGGGUGAGUAACACGUGGAUAACCUACCUAUAAGACUGGGAUAACUUCGGGAAACCGGAGCUAAUACCGGAUAAUAUUUUGAACCGCAUGGUUCAAAAGUGAAAGACGGUCUUGCUGUCACUUAUAGAUGGAUCCGCGCUGCAUUAGCUAGUUGGUAAGGUAACGGCUUACCAAGGCAACGAUGCAUAGCCGACCUGAGAGGGUGAACGGCCACUGUGGAACUGAGACACGGUCCAGACUCCGACGGAAGGCAGCAGUAGGGAAGCUUCCGCAAUGGGCGAAAGCCUGACGGAGCAACGCCGCGUGAGUGAUGAAGGUCUUCGGAUCGUAAAACUCUGUUAUUAGGGAAGAACAUAUGUGUAAGUAACUGUGCACAUCUUGACGGUACCUAAUCAGAAAGCCACGGCUAACUACGUG
rnacentral:rRNA from 1 species